UACGUAGGGUGCAGGCGUUAAUCGGAAUUACUGGGCGUAAAGCGUGCGCAGGCGGUUCGCCAAGUCAGGUGUGAAAUCCCCGGGCUUAACCUGGGAAUUGCGCUUGAAACUAGCGGGCUUGAAUCCGGGAGAGGGAUGUGGAAUUCCAGGUGUAGCGGUGAAAUGCGUAGAUAUCUGGAGGAACACCGGUGGCGAAGGCGGCAUCCUGGACCGGUAUUGACGCUGAGG
rnacentral:rRNA from 1 species